AUAGUAAGUGCUCAAUAAAUACUAUUGAGUGAACGAUACAGAGAAGAUUAGCAUGGUCCCUGCGCAAGGAUGACACCCAAAUUUGUGAAGCGUUGCCCAUUUUU